rnacentral:lncRNA from 1 species
AAAGUCUGAGAUUCCAGGGGACGGGAGGGGGCAUCACUCCCACCCAGGCCCUGAGACGGACCAAGAUAAGGGAGUGAGGAGUUCCUGUUGUGGCUCAGUGGUUAACAAAUCCAACUAGGAACCACGAGGUUGCGGGUUCGAUCCCUGGCCUUGCUCAGUGGGUUAAGGAUCCAGUGUUGCCAUGAGCUGUGGUGUUGGUUGCAGACGCGGCUUGGAUCCCGCGUUGCUGUGGCUCUGGUGUAGGCCACUGGCUACAGUUCCGAUUGGACCCCUAGCCUGGGAACCUCCAUAUGUCAUGGGAGCUGCCGAAAGAAAUAGCAAAAAAAAAAAAAAAAAAAAAAAGAUAAGGGAGUGAGACCAGGGAGAAGGCCAUUCCUACGGAAAAUGUAAUAAAUUUUAUUACACCGAUAAAUAAACAGAAGACAAUAAGAUUAAAAGGAAAGGAAACAAAAGAAGAUACUGGAAGAAAGGGAAGAGAAGGAAGGAAGGGAGGGAGGGUGGAAGGCGUGGGACCCUCCCGGCACUCCCCUGGCAUAUAAGGGACAGGACCCCAGAAUGGACACACCUGCCCUGCGUGUCUCGGGCACCUUCCUCAGUCACCGAGACGUCCGUGUCAGAUUUGCAGAACAACAAGCCUUCCUCUUUGAUACCAUCACUCAGUCACCAUUUGGAGAAGAAACUCAGAGGAUGGAAGCAGGAGACCAGCCCGGGGGCCACACCCAUUUAGACCAGGGAGGGACAGAGCCUCUCUCCGUCCUCUCUGGGCCCAGGGCUUAGACCUGACAUGGGAUGUUCAAAGUGAAGAGCAAAAGGGGUCGGUGGGGACUUUGCUUGGAAGGCAGGUGUGCCUGGAUUGGCUGGCGAAAUGGGUAUUAAGCGUGAGAAAAAAAGGAAUGCUUGCCAGAUACCUAGACUAAGCGACGGGUAACAGCUUUGUCAGGAAUUGGGGGUAGAGAGGAAGGGGCGGCUGGAGCAAGGGAGCAAGAGUUUGGGUUUAGACACAUUUCUAUUGACUUUCCUGUUAGACGUGCCGGUGGGGAGUGGAAGACACAGGUGGACGUGUUGGUCUUGAGGUCUGGGCUGGAGACAUGGUUGUGUGGGGACAGGACCAGGUGAUGGUCGGAGCCGUGGGAAUAGAGAACUGCCAGGCUUCUUCCCAGGGCUUCCACGGGGACUGUUCACGACACCUCCCAUCAGGUUUAUGGUUCUACUUACGCCUGUCAGGGUCUCCCACCUAGACUGGGAAGCUCUGGACAGUAGCGCAU